rnacentral:rRNA from 1 species
GUCCACGCCGUAAACGAUGAGAACUAGACGUUGGGGUUUAUACCCUUAGUGUCGCAGCUAACGCGAUAAGUUCUCCGCCUGGGGAGUACGCCGCAAGGUUAAAACUCAAAGGAAUUGACGGGGGCCCGCACAAGCGGUGGAGCAUGUGGUUUAAAUUCGAUGCAACGCGAAAAACCUUACCUGCCCUUGACAUCUGGCGAACUUUCCAGAGAUGGAUUGGUGCCUUCGGGAAUGCCAUGACAGGUGCUGCAUGGCUGUCGU